rnacentral:lncRNA from 12 species
CUUCUAGCUUCACUUAGGUGACCUAAAAUAGCAAUACAGAAUAUUUGAAGAGUGCAGAGAGGAAAAGAUGGAAGGUGGAUGAGGAGAGAUGAUAAGAAAGCGACAGAAAAUGAUCUGAAGAGACAGAAGGCUGGAAGAGUCAUCCCUACUAUGAUCUGUGAUCAGAGGAGGAAACCCAUUUCUCUGGUACGAAGGUAUUAGUAUUACUG